GGAUGCGAUCAUACCAGCACUAAAGCACCGGAUCCCAUUAGAACUCCGAAGUUAAGCGUGCUUGGGCGAUAGUAGUACUAGGAUGGGUGACCUCCUGGGAAGUCCUCGUGUUGCAUUCC
rnacentral:rRNA from 1 species